rnacentral:rRNA from 1 species
GAGUUUGAUCAUGGCUCAGAUUGAACGCUGGCGGCAUGCCUUACACAUGCAAGUCGAACGGCAGCACGGGGGCAACCCUGGUGGCGAGUGGCGAACGGGUGAGUAAUACAUCGGAACGUGUCCUGUAGUGGGGGAUAGCCCGGCGAAGCCGGAUUAAUACCGCAUACGCUCUACGGAGGAAAGGGGGGGAUCUUAGGACCUCCCGCUACAGGGGCGGCCGAUGGCAGAUUAGCUAGUUGGUGGGGUAAAGGCCUACCAAGGCGACGAUCUGUAGCUGGUCUGAGAGGACGACCAGCCACACUGGGACUGAGACACGGCCCAGACUCCUACGGGAGGCAGCAGUGGAGAAUUUUGGACAAUGGGCGAAAGCCUGAUCCAGCAAUGCCGCGUGUGUGAAGAAGGCCUUCGGGUUGUAAAGCACUUUUGUCCGGAAAGAAAACCUCCGCCCUAAUAUGGUGGGGGGAUGACGGUACCGGAAGAAUAAGCACCGGCUAACUACGUGCCAGCAGCCGCGGUAAUACG